rnacentral:sRNA from 1 species
GGUCCCCGCCCCGCGUGCUCAGGCUGAACAGCUUUUCUUCCCUGAUCUCUCGGAGGCGCCGGCCGCUGGCCAACGCAGGGCAGCCUCCUGCGUGCGUGCUGUGGGUUUCUCCUUCAGUUUCCUCUCAUUGCCUGAGGUUGGGCCCGAACACGGCGGUCCAUUUCCUUGAGAUUUGGAAACAAUUUGUAGCCAACUUCAGUAUGAAUCAAAGCAUUAUUUUAAAAGGAAAGAUUCAUUCUGACAUUAAAUUGCAUUUUCCAAGAACCAGCAAAAUCAACCAUCCAGACUUUAAUUAUGGAAUCACAGGUGCAACUGCGUAUCUCCUCAGUAGAGGACAGGAAGAUUUGUGUGACUGGGACUUUAUGGAUUUGGCAUCUCCUGCAAGAUGUGUAUCCAACUCCUGGGAAUACUGGAGCAUGAUUAUAGAAUUGGUUUCUAUUGUCUGUUUUCUGUUUGUUGCUCUCCCAUAAGUUCAGAAUCUUGGAUUUCAAGUCUAUAGUGUAACACUCUUGUUCAUAAUUUCUUAUUUUAAAAAAAUGUUUAAAUAUUUUUAUAGUAAAUAUUUUUUCAAACUAUUUGGGCUUGCUAUUGAACAAAUGUUCUCUUUGUAUUGUAUAUUUUGAAGGUGGUAAAAAGCAUCACUCUAAAACAUUUUGGAAUAUAACAGAAAGGUUGUUAAUACAUUAUACUGACUACCUUUUUUC